GAUGAAGAACGCAGCGAAAUGCGAUAAGUAAUGCGAAUUGCAGAAUUCAGUGAGUCAUCGAAUCUUUGAACGCACAUUGCGCCCUGUGGUAUUCCACAGGGCAUGCCUGUUCGAGCGUCAUUUCAACCCUCAAGCCUCGCUUGGUGUUGGGCCCUGCCCGCCGCGGCCGGCCCUAAAGAUAGUGGCGGCGCCGCCUGGCCCUCAGCGUAGUACAGCUCUCGCUCCAGGGUCCGGCGGCAGCCUGCCAGAACCCCCCAACUCUGUGGUUGACCUCGGAUCAGGUAGGGAUACCCGCUGAACUUAAGCAUAUCAAUAAGCGGAGGA
rnacentral:misc_RNA from 1 species